rnacentral:rRNA from 1 species
GAUGAACGCUGGCGGCGUGCCUAAUACAUGCAAGUCGAACGAACGGACGAGGAGCUUGCUUCUCUGAUGUUAGCGGCGGACGGGUGAGUAACGCGUGGAUAACCUACCUAUAAUACUGGUAUAAUUUCGGGAAUGCGGAUAUAAUACCAGAUAAUAUUUUGAACCACAUGGUUCAAAAGUGAAAUACGGUGUUGCGGGCACUUAUAGAUGGAUCCGCGCUGCAUUAGCUAGUUGGGAAGGUAACGGCUUACCAAGGCAACUAUGCAUAGCCGACGUGAGAGGGUGGUCGGCCACCCUGGAACGGAGACACGCUCCAGACUACUGCGGGAGGCCGCAGUAGGGAAUCUUCCGCAAUGGGCGAGAGCCUGACGGAGCAACGCGGAGUGAGUUAUGAAGGUGCUCCGAUCGUAAAACUCUGUUAUUAGGGAAGAACAUAUGUGUAAGUAACUGUGCACAUCUUGACGGUACCUAAUCAGAAAGCCACGGCUAACUACGUG